rnacentral:rRNA from 1 species
CCUACGGGCGGCAGCAGUGAGGAAUAUUGGUCAAUGGCCGGAAGGCUGAACCAGCCAAGUCGCGUGAGGGAUGACGGUCCUAUGGAUUGUAAACCUCUUUUGUCAGGGAGCAAAGGGCGUCACGUGUGGCGCUUUGCGAGUACCUGAAGAAAAAGCAUCGGCUAACUCCGUGCCAGCAGCCGCGGUAAUACGGAGGAUGCGAGCGUUAUCCGGAUUUAUUGGGUUUAAAGGGUGCGUAGGCGGAUUUUUAAGUCAGCGGUAAAAUGUCCGGGCUCAACCCGGGCCGGCCGUUGAAACUGGGGAUCUUGAGUGGGCGAGAAGUAUGCGGAAUGCGUGGUGUAGCGGUGAAAUGCAUAGAUAUCACGCAGAACUCCGAUUGCGAAGGCAGCAUACCGGCGCGCAACUGACGCUCAUGCACGAAAGUGUGGGUAUCGAACAGGAUUAGAUACCCUUGUAGUC